CCGAGUUUUUUAGGGUUCGAUUUAUGGAUUUCUACUUGUUCCAUGUCGUUUUCCUCUCAAUUUUGUGGUCGAUUUUGGAUUUAAAAUCAAUUUGGAGAUCGAUUUGAAAUUACGGUUUUCGUUAGGGUUCGAAGACGAUUUGGGAUACGAUUUUUGUUUCCGAUUUGGGGGUUUUUGAAAUCGAUUUAGGGUUUCAAAUCAAGUUAGGGUUCCAAACUUCUAAAUUUGUUGUUUCUGAUUGUCGUUUUGUUCUUGUUUGCCUAUGUCAACUUGUUUGCUUAUGUUAUUCAUUCAAGCAACUAGAAAUGAGUUUCCUCCUACUUGUUCGCUUAUGAGACUGAUUUUGUUACUGAUGCCACUAUCUGUUUUUGACACUAUUGCAGGUUAGCUCAUGGAUCCUAAUGAAGAGAGGAGAUUUAUGAAGGCGCAUAAGGCCCACUACGAUAGCCUACAUUUUGUAAGAGACUCGAUGCAAGGAAUUCAAGAACGGUGUGUAUGUGGGAAACGCUUACUGCACGAGAGAGCUCCAACAGAAGUCUAUGACUACCUACCAGGGAAGAGGUUCUUCACCUGCAAGGAGUACAAAGUAAGUGAACUACCUAUUCUAUUUCUGUCUGUUUAGGUUUGUUACAAAAUUUAAUCAUACUUGUUAUAUUUCUGUAGGAUGAUGUCAUGCAUUACAGGCAGCCCUGGGUCUGUGCAGUGGAGGAAGAGCUACAGAUCAUGAAAACACGGCUGGAAAAAUGUGAAGAGCAUAAAUCCCUGGUGGUAAAGCUGGAAGCCGAGAAUCAGGAGCUGAAGGCAGAGGUGGAGAAGCUCAUAGCCCGAGUGUCUGAGCUUGAGUAUGCCGCAUAAGGUGAGUUCAUAAAACUUUUUAAAGUUUUUGAACGCUCUAUAUUUCUAAAGUUUUUGAAUCAGUAACUUCAUAGUUUCAGAACUCUCUCUAUUUCGACUUCAUUUCAAACUUUCAAGUUUUUAAAGAUUAACUUUCUAUUUCGUUUCAAACUUUCUAGUUUGAACUAGUUUUAAAUCCAAAGUUAUCUGAUUUGAACUAUUUUUAAAUCCAAAGUUAUCUGAGUCUUAUUAAUGCAGAUUUAACUGGUUUUAAUUGUUUCUGAUUUGGUAGCUAAAACUUCACUGGUUUAAUGAAAAUCUUCCUAACUGCAUUGAGUUGAUUGGUCUUUAAAGCUCUAUGUGAACUUUUCAAGGGUGGUGGUUAGGAUUAGGUUAGAUAGUAAAUACAUCAUUUAAGCAAGAACACUACUUAAAUUGACCUAAACACACAGAGUUACCAAACACAAAAACUAACCAAAACCCACAAACUUAGAAAAUGGCAUCAUAUUGUCCAGGGUUAGUUAGCCUAUUAACAAGCCAAACCGGAGAAUCUAGCACUCCAGAGUUUGUGAACCUUUCAGGUUCUCAAUCCAUAGACCUGGACUCACCUGAUCUUCCAGCUUUUAGCAGCCACUGUUCAGAAUCAUCUACUGUCAAUGAGAGGAGGAAAUGGUCUCCGAAGGAGGAUGUUAUUCUCAUAAGUUCUUGGCUCAACACCAGCAAGGAUCUAAUAGUAGGGAAUGAGCAAAAGUGUGGAACUUUUUGGAAAAGGAUCCGAGAUUACUACAACUCAAGUGUUUAGCAUGCUGGGUUGGACCCUAGGGAGCUAGGUCAGUGCAAGCAAAGGUGGGGAAGACUUAAUGACCUAGUCUGCAAAUUAUGUGGUUGCUAAGAUGCGGCUUUGAGGGGCCAAUCAAGCGGUGAGAAUGACAAUGAUGUGAUGAAGAAAGCACUAGACAUGUUCUUCAAUGACUAUGGUUGUAAGUUCACUCUAGAGCAUGCUUGGAGAGAGCUUAGGAAUGACCAGAAAUGGUGCUCUGUGUAUCAAGCUAAGGAUGGUGCUAAAGAGAAGCGGAAGACUGUUGGUGGUGCUGUUGAAGGCCAAGAGGAGGUUACUGGUGCUAGGCCUCCGGGUAUCAAGGCUGCUAAAGCGGCUAAGAAAAAGAAAGGUGGUCAAGAGGAGUCUUUCAUAGAGUUAAAAACUGUGUUGGAGGUGAAAGACAAACUAAACAAGCAGAAGUUGCUGGAGAAGUUGCUUGAGAAGCCUGAGCCUCUUUCUGAGAUGGAAAUGACACUAAAACUUAAACUGAUGUCAGAAAUGUUGUAAUUAGGAUAAGUUUGAGUUAGUUGUCUUUCCAGUGAGGUAUUAGGUUUGAGUUAGUUGUCCUUUGUUGAAUUGUUUAGCGCAUUGCCUAACUCUUUUGGUUUUUUUCUGUCACAGGUGGAAUAGAAGAGCAUGGGAGCAGAGGGGAGACUGCUAUCUUUUGUUGUUUUAUGUUAUGUGAACCUAUCUGAACUUGUUUCUGUUGUCAUGUGAACCUAUCUUGUUUUCUCUCUGUUUUAUGUCAUGUGAACCUAUCUGAACUUGUCUCUGUUGUCAUGUGAACCUAUCUUUUUUUCUUUCUGUUGUCAUGUGAACUUGUCCAUCUCUAUAUAAACCUAUGUCAUUUGGCUAUCUCUAUUUAACUUGUCUUUGUUUAUCAUCUUUCUGAUAUUUGAUCAUCCAUUUGUUCUUCCCUUUCUUUAAACAAAGUAUUCCAAAAAAAAAGAAUUCCAAAGUAUUUCGAAAACCUACUCUUCCAAAAUAAUCAUCCAUUCCAUUUCAUUUGCCAAACAUGACAUCCUCAUCCAACAACCAAGAAGAAAAUUUAGAAAAUUUAAUUGAAGAUUAUUUUGAACAACAAAUCGAAGUAAUGUACAACAACAUAGUGGAGUAUCAACCUACAUUGCCGAGGAGACGAGUAUACAUAGAAAGAAACCGCGAGGAAGGGCACAACCGUUUAUGGAAAGACUAUUUCAGUGCGGAGCCGACAUAUCCACCUCACUAUUUUAGGCGCCGCUUCCGAAUGAGCCAGACAUUAUUCACGGGGAUUGUUAAUCGCCUCUCCAAUGAAGUUCCUUAUUUUCAACAUAGAAGAGAUGCAGUAGGACGGUACGGGAUAUCUCCACUACAAAAAUGUACUGCAGCAAUUCGUAUGUUGGCUUAUGGCUGUGCGGGUGACAUGGUUGACGAAUAUCUCCGCAUGGGUGAGACCACUGCCUUAUUGUGUUUGGAAAAAUUUACUCAAGGAAUCAUACAUUUAUAUGGAGAGGAGUAUCUACGAAGACCCACACCAGAGGAUCUUCAACGACUACUUGAUAUCGGAGAGGUACGUGGUUUUCCUGGGAUGAUAGGAAGCAUUGACUAUAUGCAUUCGGAGUGGAAAAAUUGUCCACACUCUUGGAAAGGCCAGUACUGUCGUGGUUCUGGCAAGCCGACAAUUGUCCUAGAGGCUGUAGCAUCGCAAGAUCUGUGGAUAUGACACACGUUUUUUGGACCACCAGGUACCUUGUACGAUAUUAAUGUCCUUGAUCGGUCUCCGGUUUUUGAUGACAUUUUACAAGGUCGAGCUCCAAGAGUUGAGUUCAUCGUCAACGGUGACAAAUACCAUAUGGCGUACUACCUCACCGACGGUAUAUAUCCAAAGUGGCCUACAUUUAUCCAAUCCAUCUCUAUUCCUCAAUGUCCUAAGGCGGAGUUAUUUGCAGAACGUCAAGAAGCUGUCAGAAAAGAUGUCAAGCGUGCUUUUGGAGUCUUGCAAGCUCGUUUUGCAAUUGUUAGAAACCCAACUCUUCUUUGGGACAAGGAAAAAAUCAGCAACAUUAUCAGAGCAUGUAUCAUACUACACAAUAUGAUAGUGGAAGAUGAACGAGAUGGAUACACUCAAUACGAUACAUCUAUAUUUGUAGAAGGAGAAACAAGCAGAAGUUCAGAGGUGGAUUUCUCGUUCUCUAUAAACAUGCCUACAAAUCUCGGUAAUAUGCUUGUCAUUUGGAGUGAACUUCGCGAUCAAAGGAUACAUGAACGAUUGAAGACCGAUUUAAUUGAGAAUAUAUUUGCAAAACUUGGUCAUCAACAAUCAUAAUUAUUGUAUGUUUAAUAUUUGUUUUUCAAUAAAUAUAAUUUUAUUUUCCAUUAAUUUAAUAAUAUUAUUUUAUUCCUAAGAACCCCACCUUGGAAUUCACCAAUGGACACCCAAAAAAUUGAAAGUACUUAACUUUUCAAAAUUAAUUAAAAUAAUUAAAACAAAAUGCUAAGAACCACAUUUAGGGGUUCACCAAUGGAGUUGCUCUAACGAAUGCAUAGACUCGUGGCUCUCUUAAGUCAAGUCAUCGUCCAAAAUGUGUAAAAAAAGGACAAAUGUGGGGAACUUAAUUAGUUGCAUGCACAAGUCUCCGGUUGGUGAAUGAUAGGACUUUGUUGCACAUUAGAGCAUGGUUAUUGGAGAGUUCUUAAGGUGAAAUUUUUAACGGAAUAUAAUUUUUUUUUUUUAACUUUUAACUAAAAAAGCUAAAAACCGACUCUUAAAUAAGACUAUUCUUAUAAGAGUGAUUUACAUCCCAAGUCACAUUUUGAGUUUAUGUUACACUAAGGGUCACAUGUUACUCCUUAGAAACUUUUUUAACCUUUUCCAUUCAUUUCUAACCAAAGCAUAACUAAAAUAUAUCAGCAGGAUCCACUCAUUUAUUUCAUUUUCUUCGACAUUUUUUUUUCUGACUAAAACAAUGAUAGUUCAACUCAGAAAUGGUGGAUUGGUUUCACGGCGAAAACGGUGGCGUAGAGAUCCCAACUCACUGAUUCCAUCUCCUUUACCAUUAACUUAAAUCUUCUAAUCUAAACAAAGCUUCUCCUCCAUCGCAACAGCCCUAUCGUUAGCCGCCGUCAUGUCUUUGUCUUAGCACAUUUCUGUUCGCCGCCACCGUGAAAUCACCUCAACCAAGCUUCUUCCUCCUCUUCGUUAGCCGACAGAGCCUUUCCUCCGCCGAGAUCCCAAUAUCGAGGAUCUUCAAACCUAAUGGAAAAUUUCUUUUUAUUUGCACAUUUGGUCUCUGAUAUUUGAAAAAAAUUGGAUUAUGACCCCACAGUUUCCAAAAUUGCAAAAUUAACCUUCCAAAUUUCCACCAAAUUUUUUUAUUUAUGUAAUACAAUCCAUGUAGUAUGCAAGUAUGCAAAUUUGCACCAAUAUACACUUAUCACUGACUUGAUCUAUUUUGUAAUUCACCUUCUAGGUAGACGUGUACACGUUAAAAUGU